UGCGCCGAAAAUGUCCGGGGCUGAAACACGACACCGAAGCCGUGGACUCGCAAUGCGAGUGGUAGAGGAGCAUUCUUAAAACCGACGAAGCUGUACCGGAAGGAGCAGUGGAGGGAUAAGAAGAGAGAAUGCCGGAAUGAGUAGCGAGAGAAAGGUGGGAAUCCUUUCGGCCGAAUAUCUAAGGUUUCCAGAGUAAAGCUGAUCUGCUCUGGGUAAGUCGGGGCCUAAGCACAGGUCGCAAGACGUAAGCGAUGGAUAACAGGUUUAGAUUCCUGUACCACGCAUUAUCAGAACUGUAGGGACGCAUGUGGAAAGCACGGGCCGGGAAUGGAAAGACCGGUACAAGCGGGGUAGGUGUACAAUAGGCAAAUCCGUUGUAUAAUCCGAAGACGUGAUGUGGAGCGAAAUAAAGUAGUGAAGCGUGUGAGCCAUGUGCCGAGAAAAGCUGCUAUUGUGUAAUGCGUGCCCGUACCGUAAACCGACACAGGUGGAUGAGGAGAGAAUCCUAAGGCCGGCGGAAGAAGCAUUGUUAAGGAAUUCGGCAAAAUGACCCCGUAACUUCGGGAGAAGGGGUGCCUGCGAGAGCAGGCCGCAGAGAAUAGGCUCAAGCAACUGUUUAGCAAAAACACAGGUCUAUGCGAAACCGAAAGGUGAAGUAUAUGGGCUGACGCCUGCCCGGUGCUGGAAGGUUAAGAGGAGAGGUUAGCUUCGGCGAAGCUUUGAAUUUAAGCCCCAGUAAACGGCGGCCGUAACUAUAACGGUCCUAAGGUAGCGAAAUUCCUUGUCGGGUAAGUUCCGACCCGCACGAAAGGCGUAAUGAUUUGAGCGCUGUCUCGACAAUGCAUCCGGUGAAAUUGAAGUACCAGUGAAGAUGCUGGUUACCCGCGCCAGGACGGAAAGACCCCAUGGAGCUUUACUCCAGUUUGAUACUGGGAUUCGGUACUGCAUGUACAGGAUAGGUGGGAGACGAAGAAGGAUGGACGCCAGUCUGUCCGGAGUCGCUGUUGGGAUACCACCCCUGUAGUACUGGGUUUCUAACCAGUUGCCAUGAACUGGCAAUGGGACAAUGUCAGGCGGGGAGUUUGACUGGGGCGGUCGCCUCCGAAAGGGUAUCGGAGGCGCUCAAAGGUUCCCUCAGAAUGGUUGGAAACCAUUUGAAGAGUGCAAAGGCAGAAGGGAGCUUGACUGCGACACCGACGGGUGGAGCAGGU
rnacentral:rRNA from 1 species